AGCCAACGAAUUAUCAUGUCAAUGAUAACAAUAUAAUCAUGGAUAUAUUUAAAAAUGUUCAAGAUGUGAGAGGGCAUGGAGUUCAUCCAUAGCCACCAUCACGAAUAUCAAUCGAAGUUUAGUAAAAGGUCAUAUUUAUGGGUAAAUCCAUUAUUUGUGACCAUUAAAAGCUGAUGGAUGCAUCCAGACAAAUGAUUUUCAGCAGAAUCUUUGAGAUGUCACAUGGAACACAGAAAUAAUAAGUUAAGAGGAAGUACACAUUUUGAUAAGUAAAUCAACCUUACACACUUCAGUUCCUCAAAGAAUAUAGGUCAUUUGAGAGUGCCUUCUAUAAAUGUACAUUUAAGAGCUGAUUACAUGAAAACGGUCAAAGGUGAUUCUAAAUUAACAGGUCAAGUGAGAGUGAGAGAGAGAGAGAGAGAGAGAGAGAGAGAGAGAGAGAGAGAGA